CCCCAGUAAACGGCGGCCGUAACUAUAACGGUCCUAAGGUAGCGAAAUUCCUUGUCGGGUAAGUUCCGACCCGCACGAAAGGCGUAACGAUUUGGGCACUGUCUCAACGAGAGACUCGGUGAAAUCAUAGUACCUGUGAAGAUGCAGGUUACCCGCGACAGGACGGAAAGACCCCGUGGAGCUUUACUGUAGCCUGAUAUUGAAAUUCGGCACAGCUUGUACAGGAUAGGUAGGAGCCUUUGAAACGUGAGCGCUAGCUUACGUGGAGGCGCUGGUGGGAUACUACCCUAGCUGUGUUGGCUUUCUAACCCGCACCACUUAUCGUGGUGGGAGACAGUGUCAGGCGGGCAGUUUGACUGGGGCGGUCGCCUCCUAAAAGGUAACGGAGGCGCUCAAAGGUUCCCUCAGAAUGGUUGGAAAUCAUUCAUAGAGUGUAAAGGCAUAAGGGAGCUUGACUGCGAGACCUACAAGUCGAGCAGGGUCGAAAGACGGACUUAGUGAUCCGGUGGUUCCGCAUGGAAGGGCCAUCGCUCAACGGAUAAAAGCUACCCCGGGGAUAACAGGCUUAUCUCCCCCAAGAGUUCACAUCGACGGGGAGGUUUGGCACCUCGAUGUCGGCUCAUCGCAUCCUGGGGCUGUAGUCGGUCCCAAGGGUUGGGCUGUUCGCCCAUUAAAGCGGUACGCGAGCUGGGUUCAGAACGUCGUGAGACAGUUCGGUCCCUAUCCGUCGUGGGCGUAGGAAAUUUGAGAGGAGCUGUCCUUAGUACGAGAGGACCGGGAUGGACAUACCUCUGGUGUACCAGUUGUCGUGCCAACGGCAUAGCUGGGUAGCUAUGUGUGGACGGGAUAAGUGCUGAAAGCAUCUAAGCAUGAAGCCCCCCUCAAGAUGAGAUUUCCCAACUUCGGUUAUAAGAUCCCUCAAAGAUGAUGAGGUUAAUAGGUUCGAGGUGGAAGCAUGGUGACAUGUGGAGCUGACGAAUACUAAUCGAUCGAAGACUUAAUCAA
rnacentral:rRNA from 1 species